UGACCUUCACCACCAGAUUAGACCCCUGGUUUCUGACAGGCCUUCCAAGCGCCCUGCAUGCCUCCCCGGCCAACAACACCGCAGUAGUGAUUCGACACCAUGGUGGUUUGAAUUCAUCUGUCCUCCCACCCACUUGGCCGGAAGGUCCUGGGGAACAGGCACCAUGCCUGUGCUUCAUCGCCAGCAAAUCCCCAGCUCCUAGGACGUCAUACGACUCAACAAACGCUGUUGCCUGAAUGAACGCACGAAUCGUGAAAGGAAGGGUUCAUCCCUACAAAACAGUCCGCCCAACUGAACACAUUCAGAGAUAAAGGGAACCAAUGGAGAACCCUCACGGCCUCCAGGAGUGACGAGCAGCCACGGGAAGGUACCUGCUGAGCCCCCUUGGGCUCCCUGCUUUGUUGCUGCCUCCGGAGGUGAUGGGUCUGGAAACCACCUGGAGUCGGACUGGAUCCAGGGUCAUACUGGUCCAACUUGGCAACCAGACUGAGACCAGGGUGAAGACUCUGGUGAAUAAAAUUUUGUUUUAAGGCUGAACCAAAAGGUUAACCUAACCAAAGAGAAUUUUGAAUUACAGUGACCACAGUGGAGAACCUUUAACCUAGAGAAGCUUAUCCAUUUAGGAGAUGCCCUAGAGAAAAUGGGGUCUCAGCCAAGGACUCACCAUAAAAAGUAGACAGAAGUUUAUUUAUCCCCCUCUACAGUUUCUGUGACCAGGAUGAGACCCACUGGGACACCUCACAUGCUUCGGAGCCUGCAGAUGGCAUCCUGGGAAAACUGGCACAAGCCAGGAAAGGAAACUUACUUUUCUACUCUGAUGCUUUUGCAAAUAAAUGUUCCUACAAAAGUGCUUCUUCAUCUUCCAGACAACUCAUGGGAAGGACUCUAACAAGUACAAGUUUCUGAUAACUUCCAGACCACACCACUGAGUAAGAAUUGGCAGAGCUCUAAGGGAAAGACUGACAGUUUCAUAAAACUAACAAAAGAUCAAGAUCAACAAGAAUUAGUUACAUUGGACUGAAUGAACUGAUAGAGAUGAUUUUAUAAUUUUUAUGACUUUUGUUUGAAACACUGUGGUGUUGUUUUUCUAGAGUUAGGAAAAUCUGUCUUUUCUCUUAAACUAUCAUUACUUUGGAAAAAUGUACCUUUGUAAACAAAGAUGAAACAUUUAUCUUUUCUCCUUAUCUGAUUCCUCCAGAAUUUGGAAACUCCAUUCUUAUUUUCAUGGAGAUACAGUUAUUUGCUUAAGUUCAAUAGGAAUCUGUUCUCCUUGCAACAGGACACAAUUGGAAACAUUGGUUACAUGACCAAGACUUUGAUGAAAUGUCAUAUUUGAGAAUAUGCAUAAAAUCAGAUGUGAGAAGAUAGUUUGAAGGAACUAAAGUUGACUUAUGGAGCCAAAAAAGUCCCUGGGAACAAAGAGCCUGGCACCUUGCUUACAGAGUUCUCAGCAACCUUAGCAGGAAGGCAACACUCCUUCAUUCUGGCGGCUGUCACUGAAUCUACUGCUGAGUCCACAGCUGUACAACCAAAGUCCCCAAACACUCUUGCUAAGGUGGGGUUUUUUUUAAUGUUUAUUUAUUUAUUUUGACAGAGAGAGGGAGAGAGAGAGAGAGCACACACACAAGUGGGGGAGGGGCAGAGGAGGAGAGGGAGAAAGAGUCCCAAGCAGGCUCCGCUCUGUCUGUGGGGAGCCUGACGCGGGGCUCGAUCCCAAGAACCAGGAGAUCAUGACCUGCGCCGAAAUCAACAGUGGGAAGCUUAACCAACUGAGCAACCGAGUUGGUCACCCAGGUGCCCCAAGGUGGUUUUGGGUAACAGAAUUGCUUUAUGUUACUUGCUGGAUGAACAAAGAGGAAGCUGGAUCAUUGUACCUGGACCAUUACCUCCGGUACUGCAACACAUACAAGAAAUUAACAAGUCACUUGGUUAAAACAGGUUGAUGACCCC